UUUAAUGAGGUCUUUUUCUCUCUUUUGUUGUUUUUUUGCCCUUUUUUUCCAGGGUCCUGCAGGAAGACCUGGACUUCCGGGUCAGCCUGGCACAAGAGGCUUUCCUGGAUUUCCGGUGAGUGGGGAUGGUUUCUGUAAAUGCCCUUGCCCAUCCAUUUCAGCUGGGCCUCAUUGCACUGAGUCGUCCCUUACAUGGGCAUUCCCCUCUGAAGCAACAGUGGCUCUUUCGUGGAGUGCUCUACUCCUCAGCCCUUCCGAAAAUGAAGCCAGACUUGGGAUAGCUCAGAGCUGGGACUGCUUCUAGUUGUUAGAGAGAGAGAGAAAAGGGAAAG
rnacentral:lncRNA from 1 species